GUAACAAGGUCUCCGUAGGUGAACCUGCGGAGGGAUCAU
rnacentral:rRNA from 2 species